rnacentral:lncRNA from 1 species
AACUCCAGCCCAGGAGGAAAGUGUACUCUCCUGGCCCCAAACUUGCAGGCUGUGGGCUUUCUGUGUGCAGGAGACUCAGCCCAACACUAACUGGGGUAGGGGCUAGAACAAGGGUUUCCAGACUCUUUCCUAGUCAAGUGGGAAACUCAAGCAGCAGCCCCUGUCUUGGCCAGUGUUCUAGUGCUGUGAAGAGACACCAUGACCACAGCAACUCUUAGAAAAGAAAGCAUUUGAUUGCAGCUUGCUUACCGUUGUUUUUGUUUUUGUUUUUUUUUUUGGUUUUUUUUUUUUUUUUUUUUUUGGUUUUUCAAGACAGGGUUUCUCUGUGUAGCCCUGGCUGUCCUGGAACUCUCUUUGUACACCAGGCUGACCUUGAACUCAGAAAUCCGCCUGCCUCUAGCUUGCUUACCUUUUUAGAGGUUUAGCCCAUUCUCAUCCUAGCAGGAGAGCGGCAGCACACAGGCAGACAGGGUACUGGGGAAGUAGCUGAGAGUUCUACAUCUGGUUCCACAGGCAGCGAGAAAGAGGCACUGGGUCUGGCCUAGGCCCUUGAAACCUUGAAGUCCACCCCCAGUGACACAUUUCCUCCUGCACAUCCAUACCUCCUAAUCUCUCCCAAGUAGUGCCACUCCCAGAUGACUAAACAUUUAAAUAUAUGAGCCUCUGGGGGCCAUUUUUACUCAAACCACCAUAGCCCUCCAAAUCUGCCCUCAGCAUAUGAUGCCUUCUAAGGAACCUGAGCUGAGUACAAGCCUCUACAGCAGUUGAGCUGGCCCCAUUUUUCUGUCCCCUUCAUUGUCUCCAGAAGGUGCUGGUUCCGCUGGAAGCCUAGAGCCAACAGAACGCAUAGGGCUUUGAUCAGGCUUAACUGCUCCUUAUGUCCUUUCUGAACUAGGCAAAGGCACAAAUAAAUAAAUGGAGCCACACAUGUGUGCCUUGCUCUCACAGACAACAGAAGGCAACAGGAGGGUACUGCCAGGCUCAGUCCCUGCCUGUACCUCACAGGCAGGUGAAGGUCUCUCUGGUGCUGUGAGAUGGGAGACUCCAGAGUUGUGGAGAUGCCUCUAUCCUGCCAUCAACGUGGCUCAGUUGCUCAGCAACCCUCCCAGACAGGGUAGAGAAAAAAAGUUGCCCAGAGAGACUGGUGAGGGCUUGCCCAACCAUGACCCGAAAUGUUCAGGAUGAGAAAUAACUGGGCAGAAGAUUCUUCAACAUGGGGUGCCAAGAGGCCUCUAGAGAACUGGGGGGUAGCGCCAGACCACGGGCUGAUGGACAGAGGGCUUGAGCCAUAGGGCAUCAGGUCUUAUAUGCCUUAUUUGUAACCCACUUCCAAAGCCCAGGACACACUCCUAUUUUCAGAACCCACUAUGACAGGGUGAGGUUUUGACAAUGGCUGAAGACAGUGACUAAGUUUCCAUCAAUGCCACACACAGGUCCUUAGUAAGGAACUGCAGCCAUACUUCCCUGAGGGUGGUCCUACCUCUUCAUGCAGUGUCAUGUUGAAUUCAUUCAUGCCUGCCAUUGCCCACCUGGUAUGGCCCAAGAUUGAUGCUGUCCACUCUGGACAGGGAGCUGUCCUGGAAGGAGGAGGAGGAACAGAAGGCCCAUUUGAUUGUGAGCCAGCAAAGGCCAUGGCUGCUCAGACAUGGGCCUAGCAGCUAUUGGCCCUCACUUUCCUGCAGAACCACCCUGAGCAUCCCUGCUGCUGGAAGGUGGCUUCUGCUACUUCCCCUUGCUGUCCCCAGCCCCCUAAGUCCUCCAAGAGCUCUUCUUGUGUUUCUGGUCCACAGCCAAGCACCUGUGAUUGCAAGGGCAGCGAGGAGACCUUCCCAUUUCCCAGGGGGCUGACAAAGCAUCUUAGACCCAGCCCGCCUAAUCUCAGCCCUGCUGUGCCUUAUGAUACUCAGGUUACCCUGGUCCUGAAACCCAAGCUGGGGUCCCAGGCGUCAUCCCAGUGCUGUCUGAGGAGCACACGAGGCCUUCCUAGUAGGCAGUAAGAGGACUCCCUUCAUAGGCCUUCUGUGUUCAGUCUGGUCUUCACCAGAACAUAGUGCUGGGCACUCAUAGGCUGGAAAUCCAAUCCAGAUAGACCCGAGGAAUCUCACUGGGCAGGGUAAGGCCUUGUCUCAGGGAGGAAACUCAAAGCCAGCAGUAAAGGCAAAAGCAAUGGGCAAGGCAGACCCAGCCCAAGCCCUUCUAGGGUUUCAUGGGACAGCAAUUGGGCCUUGUAGUUCUAUAAAAUUAAUUUUUUCUCUCCCAAUAAAAUUGGAUAUUUUGGGCUUAAAACUGAUGAUCAAAUAACACCAAAUGCUUGGGAAUAAAGCAGGACAAGAUAUAGUGUGACCUUGUUCCAUAGCAACUGGGGGUUGGGAGCCAGAUGGGCACAGCUCCCUGCCCCAGUUGCCAGCCACUGACCCCAGGGCCUUGUACUGGUCAUGGGCCUGACAAUGAGCACCGCGGGGAGGCAGGAGGCCCCCUGCUAUCUCGUUUGUUCUAUUUAAUGUUAGAAAGGCACGCUGCUGGGCAUGAGACCUUUUGUCUCCAGCAUCUUCACAUAACUUCUGUGGAAACAGACACAAUCAGCUCCUAACCCAUAAGGGUCAAGCUGCACAGCACAAUGGAGUGUCAGUGUAAAGCCUUUUGCAAAUGCUUCUCUGCUUGUAGUUUUUAUGGGGUCCCUGGUUGAUUUGUCAGAAAAGCACUUCUCAGACCCCCAGGAGUCCCUGUGAGCUGAUAGCUAAGCCAGGAGUCCCCCUGAGCUGAUAGCUAAGCCAGGAGUCCCCCUGAGCUGAUAGCUAAGCCAGGAGUUAGGCAUGCCUGCCCUACUGCCCUCCCCUCUCAGGCCUCAGCACCAGGUCCCAGCCUCAGGGAGAGGGAGGAUGGGAAGUAAGACCUUCAGAAAGCUUCAAUGGCUCAUUGUUCUGCCUGUGGUGGCUGGAAUUGGGCCGACUCAUUAUAAUAAUAAAGUUCUAGCAUUCAGCCAGUGGCUGGGUUUCCAUAGCUCGGGGAGUAUUUCGUUUUCAAAGUCUGGGGAGGGAAACUGUGUGUAAAUGGACUUUGUUAUUCUCAUCAGCCUGUUCUUUUCGAGGCCAAGUCUCCCAUCCCAUGCUUCAUCCACUCAGGUGUUGUACCUGUCAGCUUCCCAGCACCCAGGCAUGCCAGGGCAGCAAACUCCACUAGGAGACCCAGACACAAUGAGAGUGAAUCUUACCACCACCGGCCCAGACAGGUUCAUUCCACCCCACCCACUUCACCAGAGGCUGCUGUGAGGGCUAAAUGGAUCAAAGUGGUCAUCUGCCAUGGACAUUCUCCUCAGCACACAGCUGACUCUAUCUGCUUUUCUUGUUUGCUUUUGAAACAGUCUCAAUGUAGCCUGGACAGUCUGGAAUUUUCUAUGUUCAAGUCUCAAAUUUACAGAGGUCUGCCUGCCUCUGCCUCAAGUAACUGAGCCACCGUAGCCUGCUUUUGCCUGGUCUUUCUGUCAUGUUUUAUGUGGCUGUCAUAGCCCAGAAAUGUGCUUUAGCCCUCUGCCUUGGUUGGCUUUGCCUCCUAUUGGGUAGUAGUCAGUGCAGGGUCUCCCUUCCUGAAUAUUUUUCCAAAUACUUGCCAAGGUGAGGCACCUGCUCAGGGUGUCUGCAGAAUGUCCAUCCUGUCAUCUGAAAGGGUGGUUUUUCUUACCCAAAGAGGCCUUCCAUUUAUAUAUAGAGAGAGAGAAAAAAGAAAAACCACAUGGGAUUGCUAGGAAUUGAAUUCAGGUCCUUAGUCACUGAGCCAUCUCUCUAGCCCCUGAAAUUAAACUUUAAAGCAGCUAUUAUAGCCAGACAUAGAAAUGCAUGCCUGUAAGACCAAUAUUUUUAGAUAAAGACGUGAGGAUCAAGAGUUCUAGGCCAUCCUUGGCUCUACAGCAAACUUGAAAAUAGCCUGGGCUACAUGAGAUCUUGUCUCAAAAACCAAAACUUUAAAAAAAAAAACACCAAAGGGAAAUGAUAUGAGAUGUGGAAUCAACCUGUUGGUAUUUCUUAACAGCUGUUAGAGGAAAUGUUAGGCUUUAAAUAUCUGUUCAAGUCAGGUUUGGCAGAAUGUGCCUACAGUCCUAGCUACUCAGGAAGCUGAAAUGAAAAGAUUUCUUGAAGGCAGAACUUUGGGAUCAGUUUGGGUAACUGUGGUGGUUUGAAUAAGAAUAUAUUCAUGUAUUUGAAUGCCUAGUCAUCAAGGAGUAGUACUACUUGAGAAACACUAGGAGGUGUGGCCUUGUGCAGUGGGUGUGGCCUUGUAGGAGGAAGUGUGUGACUGGAGGUGAGCUUUGAAGUUAGAAGCUCAAGCUAGGACCAGUGUCUCUCUCUUCCUGCUGCCUGAGGAUCUAGAUAUUGAACUCUCAACUACUGCUCCAGUACCUUGUCUGUCCGAGUGCUGCCGUGCUUCCUGCCAUGAUGACCAUGGACUAAACCUCUAAAACUGUAAGCCAGCUCUGAUUAAAUGUUUUCUUUUGU